UACAGAGGUCCCAAGCGUUGUUCGGAUUCACUGGGCGUAAAGGGUGCGUAGGUGGUGAGGUAAGUCGGAUGUGAAAUCCCCGAGCUCAACUCGGAAAUGGCAUUGGAAACUACCUUGCUCGAGGGUUGGAGGGGGGACUGGAAUGCUUGGUGUAGCAGUGAAAUGCGUAGAUAUCAAGCGGAACACCAGUGGCGAAGGCGAGUCCCUGGACAACUCCUGACACUGAGGCACGAAAGCUAGGGGAGCAAACAGG
rnacentral:rRNA from 1 species